GCAAGUCGAACGAAGUAGCAAUACUUAGUGGCAGACGGGUGAGUAACAUGUGGGUAUCUACCCUUUGGCCUAGAAUAACACGAGGAAACUUGUGCUAAUACUGGAUAAGUCUUUACAGAGAAAGCUUUAUGCACCAUUGGAUGAGCCCGCACGUGAUUAGUUUGUUGGUGGGGUAAUGGCCUACCAAGACUGUGAUCAAUAGCUGAUUUGAGAGGAUGAUCAGCCACAUUGGGACUGAGACACGGCCCAAACUCCUACGGGAGGCAGCAGUGGGGAAUCUUGCACAAUGGAGGAAACUCUGAUGCAGCGAUGCCGCGUGAGUGAAGAAGGCCUUUGGGUUGUAAAGCUCUUUCGUCGGGGAAGAAAAUGACUGUACCCGAAUAAGAAGGUCCGGCUAACUUCGUGCCAGCAGCCGCGGUAAUACGAAGGGACCUAGCGUAGUUCGGAAUUACUGGGCUUAAAGAGUUCGUAGGUGGUUGAAAAAGUUGGUGGUGAAAUCCCAGAGCUUAACUCUGGAACUGCCAUCAAAACUUUUUAGCUAGAGUUUGAUAGAGGAAAGCAGAAUUUCUAGUGUAGAGGUGAAAUUCGUAGAUAUUAGAAAGAAUACCAAUUGCGAAGGCAGCUUUCUGGAUCAUUACUGACACUGAGGAACGAAAGCGUGGGUAGCGAAGAGGAUUAGAUGCCCUCGUAGUCCAUGCCGUAAACGAUGUGUGUUAGACGUUGGAAAUUUAUUUUCAGUGUCGCAGCGAAAGCGAU
rnacentral:rRNA from 1 species